UACGAAGGGGCUAGCGUUGCUCGGAUUACUGGGCGUAAAGGGCGCGUAGGCGGAUGUUUAAGUCGGGGGUGAAAGCCCAGGGCUCAACCCUGGAACUGCCUUCGAUACUGGACAUCUUGAGUACGGGAGAGGUGAGUGGAACUCCGAGUGUAGAGGUGAAAUUCGUAGAUAUUCGGAAGAACACCAGUGGCGAAGGCGACUCACUGGCCCGUUACUGACGCUGAGGCGCGAAAGCGUGGGGAGCAAACAG
rnacentral:rRNA from 1 species